UUUGACAUAAUGUUCGUCCAUGCGAAAUAUGGGCCACGUGCCAAGGUGUGCGCCCUAUCAUAGUAAAAAAGUAUCAGACGAGCUACACAAUGAUUCUAUCCAUAUAUCUGUCUAUGAGAUUGCUCACCUAUUUGGUACACUUGGUUUGCUGCUCUGUUUGUACUUUCAUGUGAUUUAUCCUAAUUUCAUGUUAAUGGCAGUGUUUUGUGAAAUCUAAAAAAUAUUAUUAUGUUAGAAGUUAAUUUUUAUCCCUAUUAGAUAAAAUGUACAUUGGCACGAGUUUAACGGGAUCGUGCGCCAAGGCGUGGCGCACAUCUAAAUCUAGUAGAGAUGAAUGGAGAACUGGGAAGCAGAGUUGAGAAGCUCCCAGAAAUUCCCCACAUCGACAUGUUCCUCUACUCUGGCUCUAACACAAAUUAGCCCUAAAUCCUCAAUAUGGUAUCAGAGCAGGCCGAUUCGGCGUGAUUUUUCCGCAAUUAGUCCUUCUACGGUGCUGUGUCGCCGUGAUUUGUUGGUGGAGAAGUGCGAUCUGCUGCACAGACCGCCGUUGUUGCGUCGUCGUCGCCCGCGAGCGUACAGAACGCCGCCGCUGCAUCGCCGUCGCCGCGAGCUUCCGUACAGAGUGACGCCGCUACGUCGUCGUCCGCGAGCUGCUACACAGAGCGGCGUCGAAGCUGCGGCAAGCUGUGACGGAGGAAGCCGUGCUGCUCUGGGAAGUAGCUCUUCAGUGCAGCUGCACCUGCCUCUAGCUGUCCCUGUCCUCCCUGUCCAAGCAGACGUGGUUUCUUGCAAAGAUUUAGCAUCCAAGUUUGUUUGCUAGACUGCAAGCUGAUUGGAGCUAGGAACAGGGAGACUUCUUGGGACCGGGACCGUGCAUGAUGGGCUUUAUUACCUUGAUGAAGGAAGUGAUGAAAUUGCUCUUGCAACUUGCAUGUCUCCAUGUCAAGAAUUAAUGUUACACCAUCGUAGGCUUGGGCAUCUCUCUUUUGCUGCUUUAUCUCGUAUUUAUCCUUCUCUUUUUAAGUCAUGUCCUAAGGAAUCCAUUGUAUGUGACGCGUGUGAAUUGGCCAAGCAUACAAGGGGUACUUAUCCUAGUAGGGGUCUUAGAAGUAACAAUCCUUUUGAAGUGGUUCAUUCUGAUGUUUGGGGCCCUUGUGAGGUCCAAUCCAUAUCUGGACAUAGGUGGUUCGUUACCUUUAUUGAUUGUUUUAGUCGUUUUA